GUUGGACGCCAUUACUGACCACUCACACUAACACACACACACACCUAACACACACACCUAACACUCACACUCACAUACACUUAACACACACACCUAACCCUAACACACACCUAACCCUAACACACACACAUACCUAACACCAGACCUGACCACUGCUUCAGACACACCGUACACUAACCCCAGACCUGACCACUGAUUCACUAACCCCACACCUGACCACUGCUUCACUAACACCAGACCUGACCACUGCUUCAGACACACCGUACACUAACCCCAGACCUGACCACUGCUUCAGACACACCGUACACUAACCCCAAACCUGACCACUGAUUCACUAACCCCACACCUGACCAAUGCUGCAGACACUAUGGAGAACGAGUAGGAGAGAGAGAGAGAACAGGGCAGGAGAUCGGGGGACAUUGUGUCAAUUGAUGAUUAAACACCUCUGCUAAUGUGUGUUUAGAGAAUCACGCUGACACACACAAUACCUGCUGGCUGGGAGGUAAUGGAGUGUGUGUGUUGGAGGUCACACAUGAAGCUCGUGUGAGCAGAGGAGACUCAGGUCAGACACCACCAACAGUCAGCAGAGUGGCCCCAGGUCAGACACCACCAACAGUCAGCAGAGUGGCCCCAGGUCAGACACCACCAACAGUCAGCAGAGUGGCCCCAGGUCAGACACCACCAACAGUCAGCAGAGUGGCCCCAGGUCAGACACCACCAACAGUCAGCAGAGUGGCCCCAGGUCAGACACCACCAACAGUCAGCAGAGUGGACUCAGGUCAGACACCACCAACAGUCAGCAGAGUGGACUCAGGUCAGACACCACCAACAGUCAGCAGAGUGGCCCCAGGUCAGACACCACCAACA
ensembl:lncRNA